rnacentral:rRNA from 1 species
UACGUAGGGGGCGAGCGUUGUCCGGAGUUACUGGGCGUAAAGCGCGCGUAGGUGGUUUGUUAAGUUGGAUGUGAAAGCCCCGGGCUCAACCUGGGAACUGCAUCCAAAACUGGCAAGCUAGAGUACGGUAGAGGGUGGUGGAAUUUCCUGUGUAGCGGUGAAAUGCGUAGAUAUAGGAAGGAACACCAGUGGCGAAGGCGACCACCUGGACUGAUACUGACACUGAGGUGCGAAAGCGUGGGGAGCAAACAGG